rnacentral:lncRNA from 1 species
CCCUUGGAGCGCGGCCGACACGACCAGAAGAGCGAUUUUUUGUCGGUGCCAUAUGGUACUGGUGACCUCCGUAUAGUAGGGGAGGUCGCGCGAGGGACUGGGAGGCGGAUGUCCACUGGGAGGGCUCCCACUGUUUUUAGCAUCAUCCGUGGCGGGAGGGACCCGCGCCAGCGCCGGGAGGGAUCGGGUGUCUAUGAGAUCCCUAUUGUUUGCCCGGACCGGGGCAGAGAGGCCGCGUGCGUUGGUGUUGCAUCCGGAACUCUGGCCCAAGGAGUGCGCGAGCAUGGGUAUGAUAUCACAGCGGGCAGGGUGG